CCUCCAUUUUGAUUCUCUCUUCUCCUCCUCUUCACAUAGUUCGUGGCAGGGCAUGCAGAAGCAGAGUGGCAAAUAAUCACGUUUAAACUUUGAUGGAGAGACGAAACCAGUUACACUUCAGAUGAGUUCUCAAGCUCUGCUGGACUAUAGGCCUGAGCAUGAAGUUUGAAUCCAGGCGAAUUGGUUUGGCCCACUGCAAAGCUAGGAAGAAGCUGCAACGUUCAAAUCCAGCUCUCCAUGUCGUUGACGAACGGUGCAGCUCUCCUCGUUUAUGCAGGGUGGUGUACUGCAAGAAAGGGUUAAAAUAAUCUUGGCAAAAAUCAGCUGUCUUUUAACCUUGUUGCAAAAUCUAGACAACCCAAGGAUGUUUGCUUUUCUCCCUGAAGGUUAAGUUGUCCUAACAGGUGCUAAUUUUGUGUUUUCUUAUGGAGAUCUGUCCAUAUUAGAAGCAACUGUGUGCAAACAAAAAAGCCAAUUAGAGUGCAAGGGUAUUUUUCAUCCUUCCUAUUUCCAUGUAGUCCCCAGCUAUCUCUAUCAGUCAUGUUAAGCCAUAGACUUAUCCUUUCUUGAGAAUUGGUAGACUUGUGCCCUCUUUGGGGAAAAUUGCUAUUCUAAUGUCAUGGGAAAAAUAUUGUCCUGGGGAAGUGGAUGAUCCACGUUAACUGGGAUUUGUCAUCAGCUUUGGCAACCUACGUAGCAAGGGUUGAGAUUAAUGGAGCCAAAGACUUUAAGCAAAUAUUGUUGGCGUGCUGUUAAACUGUCAAGAGAGCAAGAAAAAAAGCUCACUCUGCAACCCCCAAAUAAAGAUUUGUAUUCACUGAGCACUGCCAACCUUAUAUUAGGAAUUAUUUGCAGCGAACUACUUUCCAAAAAGGAAACAACCAGGUGUCACUUAUUGUCCAAGGUUUAUCUGCUGUAUUUUUGUUAGAUUUACAUUUAGAUGGUUGAAUCUGAGCGGGGAAUAGAUCUGCCAAAUCCACUUUUAAAUACACUAUGCUGAAACCCCAAUUGAUGUAAAUCAGAAUGGAUCAUGGACUACGAUGGCUCUACACGGCUUGACACCUGUUGAGAAUCUGGCCCAGGAUUUCUACAUUUUUGUAUAGACCAUAAAUAAAAAAUAGUGAAAUUCCUGAAAUCCAAAUAGUUGGUAUUAGUUAUUGCAACAAUGUUGACAUAAGACCCAACAUUUUCUCUAUCCAUGUAUUCAGCUAUCUAGCUUGCAAGCUGUAAUAAACCAAAGUCGUACAUCAAUUACAAUAUUUUAUGAUUAUUUUAUACUCUUGGCAAAAUACUCAGUGUUAUCUUGAACCCUAUUAAGGCUCAGCUGAUUAAAGGUUGAAGUUUUUCAUAAGUUAUUGAUGUUAUUUCUUUUAUUCAAACAUUUUCAUAACAAACUAGCUAUGAUAAUAUUUUUCUUGGCCAGAGACUUAAGACCAAAGACUUAUGUUGUAGGUAACAAUAUACAACUGUUUAUUUGGUUUAAGGACACUGAAUAAAUAUGUUGAUCCUGUAUGUGCAUUUUUGAAAUAAUUCUACAAUGAGUCACAUUUUGAUUUGCCACUGUUUAACGUUAAAGUGGAACUGAUUUUCAUUUGCAAUAUGGUUAUGCUCAGAAAAUGGGCUAUGUAAAAAUAACCCAUAUCUAUGCCCUGUGACUGAUUUUGUCAUCUGAUAUUAACAAAAAUAAAUCAUG